rnacentral:rRNA from 1 species
AACGAACGCUGGCGGCGCGCCUAACACAUGCAAGUCGAACGAGAAUCCGGGGCAACCCGGUAGUAAAGUGGCAAACGGGUGAGGAAUACAUGGGUAACCUACCCUUGAGAAGGGAAUAACCCGCCGAAAGGUGAGCUAAUACCCUAUACGCUAUCUUUUUUUCGAAAGGAAUAGGAAAGACCGGGUCGAGGACCUGGUACGUCAAGGAGGGGCGUCAUGUCCUAUCAGCUUGUUGGUGGGGUAACGGGCCUACCAAGGCUACGACGGGUAGCUGGUCUGAGAGGAUGAUCAGCCACACUGGCACUGAGAUACGGGCCAGACUCCUACGGGAGGCAGCAGUGAGGAAUAUUGCGCAAUGGGCGAAAGCCUGACGCAGCGACGCCGCGUGGGGGAGUGAAGGUUUUCGG